rnacentral:rRNA from 1 species
CCUAACACAUGCAAGUCGAACGGUAACAGGAAACAGCUUGCUGUUUCGCUGACGAGUGGCGGACGGGUGAGUAAUGUCUGGGAAACUGCCUGAUGGAGGGGGAUAACUACUGGAAACGGUAGCUAAUACCGCAUAACGUCGCAAGACCAAAGAGGGGGACCCUCGGGCCUCUUGCCAUCGGAUGUGCCCAGAUGGGAUUAGCUUGUUGGUGGGGUAACGGCUCACCAAGGCGACGAUCCCUAGCUGGUCUGAGAGGAUGACCAGCCACACUGGAACUGAGACACGGUCCAGACUCCUACGGGAGGCAGCAGUGGGGAAUAUUGCACAAUGGGCGCAAGCCUGAUGCAGCCAUGCCGCGUGUAUGAAGAAGGCCUUCGGGUUGUAAAGUACUUUCAGCGGGGAGGAAGGGAGUAAAGUUAAUACCUUUGCUCAUUGACGUUACCCGCAGAAGAAGCACCGGCUAACUCCGUGC